GGGGAAUCUUGCACAAUGCGCGAAAGCGUGAUGCAGCAACGCCGCGUGCGGGAAGAAGGCCUUAGGGUUGUAAACCGCUUUCAGUUGGGACGAAGCUUUACGAGUUAAUAGCUCUGUGAAGUGACGGUACCUUCAGAAGAAGCGCCGGCUAACUACGUGCCAGCAGCCGCGGUAAUACGUAGGGCGCAAGCGUUGUCCGGAAUCAUUGGGCGUAAAGCGCGUGUAGGCGGCUGGGUAAGUCUGCUGUGAAAGUCCAGGGCUCAACCCUGGGAUGCCGCAGAUACUGCUUGGCUAGAGUACGGGAGGGGCGAGUGGAAUUCCUGGUGUAGCGGUGGAAUGCGCAGAUAUCAGGAGGAACACCUAUGGCGAAGGCAGCUCGCUGGAACGUUACUGACGCUGAGACGCGAAAGCGUGGGGAGCAAAC
rnacentral:rRNA from 1 species